rnacentral:rRNA from 1 species
GUCGUUGAUAGGCCGGGUGUGUAAGCGCAGCGAUGCGUUGAGCUAACCGGUACUAAUGAACCGUGAGGCUUAACCUUACAACGCCGAAG